GAGGCGAGAGAUUACAGAUAUUGAAGACUUGUUCAUUGCUCAUAUCAGUGGAAUGGACACAGUCGCUCGUGGACUGAAAAAUGCAGCCAAGAUCUUGGAGAUCUGCACAAGUUGGAGGUUUUGGAGAAGCUUGAAGCAAAGCUAAAGGCUGAAGGGAAGGAAGAAGAGAAUGGAGAAGGAGAAGGUGAUGAUGAAGCUGAUGAAUCUGAGGGACACUAUCUUUCCCAAGAAACAGCACUCCCAUUUCCUCACACAUCCUCUCUGCACCUCCUCCACUGCCGCCAAACACUUGACUCCACACAAACACAUCAUCUAAAAGAAGCUCUGGUGCAUUCUCUCUUACGCAAGAGAUCAUCCCUUCCGUCACGUCCACGACCGAGGAUCCCAGCUGCUUCUUGAACUUGAAAUCACUCAAAGGUUGAACUUAAAAAAGAAAAAAAAAUU